rnacentral:lncRNA from 1 species
CGUCAGCAGAGAGUGCGUUUAAGCAUGUUUGAUGUCAUUGUUGACGUUCCUAGGGAGGAGCUGCUUAGGAUACCCUUCAUCAUGCCAGAAAUUCAGAACGUGACUUCACCUUCAAGACCCUGUCCAGGCUAUGGAGGCAGUGACAGUGGGGUUCUUCGUGGGAACACCGUGAGCACCUCUUCUUUCCCCUGCUCCUUGCAACCUCUUCUGACUCUUCGGUCACUGAAGCUGCAGUUUCAAAUAACCAAAGGAAGCUGUGAGGAUCAUGGCAGAGGAGAUGACAGCAGUUGAGCUAAGAGAAGACAGGCACGUUAAAAUCCUGUGUACAUUAAAUGAGAGACAUAGGAUUUGAAAAUGCAAUACAGGAAAUCCUGAGAUGGGUAGCAACCCUAACAACAUCAAAUUGAUAUCUGCAUGGCCAUGCAAGUAUACCAAAACAAUGGCUGUAUUUAAAAGUACAUUGAGAAGUCCUUGGCUCCAAGAGUAUACACAAAUGAUAAAGUGGAAAGCAGAACAAACAGCAUCAUUAUCUUAAUUCUGAAAACUGUAACUCCAGGAGGGUCAUCAGCAUUGUCCUGACAGAGGCUUUUAGCAUCUGGCAUUGGGCUCUGCUGCUGCAAUUUAUUCAAGGGAGUGUGGGCAACCUGUUUUCUCUGUUUCUCUUCUGUAGAAGGAUGUUUAGUUCUCCAUCAUCUAGGCAGGCCCAGUGUGCCUGGAAGCAGGCCUGGCAGUCCAGUCACCAAGGAAGGAGCCCUCCAGUUUGGCCAAAGAGAAGCAUCUGUCAGGUUCUCUCCCCUCUGGCCUUCUCAUUUUCCUCUGGGAAACCUGAGAUGUGUGUAAUGUUUUCUGUUGCCUGUGUCAGCACAUAAAACUGUGCCGCUUUCUCCCCAGUAUAUCUCAGAUUUGAAAUGUCAGUCCUCCAAAAUGCCGUAUUACACACAUUUACUGCUAUAAGAAUUAAAAUUUUAUCCUUCUAAGACUGCUUGUGGAUAAGGGUUAAAAAUAUUGGGCUUUAUGCUCCUCUUUUUUAGUAUUACAAAAAAUUUUGAAAUACUUCUUUUAAGCUUGUUUUUAAUCUCAAAUGUAUGAAGAAUACCAGUUUUAGUCCUGCCUGAUAUUGCUGAAGAACUCUGUAGGGGGAAAAGGUGUGUCUGAGAGCUGCAACGGUGGGCUUUUACACCAUAACUGAAGAGAGG